GCAAAUCACAGUUCACACCCCAACUUUUCAGUCUUUUCCUAGCUCUUGCCCUAUCAGAGGCCAAGGACAACGGAAUAAUGAUUCAUAGGCCUUACUUCCUAGCAGAAGCAAACUCACAAGAGGCAAAAGGAUGCUCUAUGUGGUGCUGUCUAUUCCUAGCAGCAGACCCUGUCCUGGGCCAUCAGGAUUUUACUCAGGGAUGAUAGACCCACACAGAAUCUUCACCUUUUAAGGAGAAGAAUGAGAGGAGCAGCCAGAAGCUUGGCAUUAUGGGAAUCAGCCCAAUGCACUUUAGGGAAACAUGGAAAUAAAAUCAUAGCAUGCCUUUUGAAAUGAA